GGAUGUGAGGGCGAUCUGGCUGCGACAUCUGUCACCCCAUUGAUCGCCAGGGUUGAUUCGACUGAUCUGGCUGGCUAGGCAGGUGUCCCCUUCCUCCCUCACCGCUCCAUGUGCAUCCUUCCCGAAGCUGCGCGCUCGGUGGAAGAGGACGACCAUCCCAGACAGAAGGAGUGUACAGUGGU